CGGCCUCCGUCUCUCUCCCUCUCGCACAUUCAUCUUCAACAGAGAGAGAGAGAGAGAGAGAGAGAGAGAAGGAAGAUGGGACUCGUUUCUUGUGAAUGCGGAUCUGGGUUUUCUUCGGCCACGGCAAUUGCCCAAGAAACCACGCAAAACGAGGCCUUCCUCGAUGCCCAUCACGAGGAAUGGCCGUUCUUGAUCUCGCCCACCUACGACGCAGCGGAAGCGGUGGACGGCACCGAGAAGAAGAGGAAGGAGAAGAAGCUGGAGAAGAAGAAGAGCCAGGUGUUGCUCGAAGGGUACGUGGAGGCGGCGGACGAGGACGACCUGGUGAGGACCAAGAGCUUGACGGACGAGGACCUUGAUGAGCUCAAAGGGUGCUUGGAUCUUGGUUUCGGGUUCAGCUACGACGAGAUUCCUGAGCUCUGCAACACCUUGCCCGCCCUCGAGCUGUGCUAUUCGAUGAGCCAAAAGUUCCAGCUCGACGACCACCAGAAGUCGCCGGAGAGAUCCGCCACGCCAUCGUCCGCGGCGGAGUCCCCUCCGGCCGCGGCUGCCAGCCCCAUCGCCAGCUGGAAGAUCUCUAGCCCUGGUGAUCAUCCCGAAGAUGUUAAAGCAAGACUCAAGUUUUGGGCUCAGGCUGUGGCUUGCACAGUCAGAUUAUGCAGCUGAAAAGCUCACAGGGAGACAUACGUGGCUUCAUUCAUCAAGGAGAAACGCAUCACUUAGCAAUUUUGUCCUUGAUGGGGUUGAAUAGCCCGAAUCUGCGAGACCAUGCAAUAUUCCUAUCUGUUUCCGCAAAGUCUCGGGUUGCAGGAACUGGAAACCUCUCUGCAAUUUUGGAGCCGGGGUGGAUAUCCACCGAACAUCGAAUUGGCCGGCUUUGAAGAAGUUGAAGACAAGGGGACUAAUGUCUCAGAGGCGAGAAUUGUUCUUUAUUACAAGUUUUCUCCGAUUAACAGCAGACCUCUGUGUAGGCCGAGAUGAUGAAGAACACCCAUUUGGGCAAUAUUGUGGUGCCGACUGAAAAUGGAGCAAAAGGAGGGAGUGAGAAGUAGAAAGAUGCUGCUUCCGACACCUCCUAAUAGGUCUCCACAUCAUCCAUCUCUCUGACUUUGUUUUGUUGAUUCUCUUGUCCUUUCUGUCGUAUGAAUUUUGGACAAUUGCUAACUACAAUGUGCUUGACAACCCGGUGGUUUGUGUUUGGUUCUUCUGUGAUGGUUUUACAUGUACUGGAAAAUGCUCCACUUAAAAGUAGUCAACUGUAGAUCUAGUUGAGAAACGUGUGGCUAUCACGAGGAUUCCAAAAGACUCGCAUGAAUGGCGUUGUUAUCCGUUAAUUCAUUGUAACGGUUCGUAGUAUUAUGCGGCAGCUAUGGCCUCCUAGCAAGUGAGAUAUCUGUAUACCUGUAGCAACCUAGUGCUUGGACAUGUUGCUUACAUGGUGUUUUCAGAUGAUUAGUGCAUUAGAGAGAGGAAUUUCCAUCAUCAUUUUCUGGAUCUGGAGGUCAUGUCUUAUAAGGUCUCAGGUAAUCUUGGAAUAUAAAUGCAAAAGCAACCAGGUGGCCAGCUUUUGUUUCCGUGUAGCCGUGUUGGUCUAGUAGAGAAGAAGAAGAAGAAGAAGAAUGGAGUUGUGUUGAGAAUCUGGAAGUUCCUGGUCUGUUCUACAACUCCUAGUUCUUCCUUUAGAGCAGUCCAUACAACCAUUUCGCGAUUUCUUUCUCAGUCUUUUGACUCCUGGAGCUAACAUUUGUUACUUUGCCCGGCAUGUUCUCUGCGAAGCUUGAAGUUACUGAAGAUAACUGCAUCGCCUUUUCGU